GACGAACGCUGGCGGCGUGCUUAACACAUGCAAGUCGAACGAAGUGGCGAACGGGUGAGUAACGCGUAAUCAACCUGCCCUUCAGAGGGGGACAACAGUUGGAAACGACUGCUAAUACCGCAUACUGAAGGAGGGGAGUGCGUCUGAUGAGGUAGUUGGAGGGGUAACGGCCCACCAAGGCGAUGCUCAGUAGCCGGUCUGAGAGGAUGAACGGCCACAUUGGGACUGAGACACGGCCCAGACUCCUACGGGGGGCAGCAGUAGGGAGUCUGCCGCAAUGGACGAAAGGCUGACGGCGCACCGCCGCGUGAGUGAUGACGGCCUUCGGGUUGUAAAGCUCUGUUAAUCGGGACGCGGUACCGGAAUAGAAAGCCACGGCUAACUACGUGCCAGCAGCCGCGGUAAUUC
rnacentral:rRNA from 1 species